rnacentral:rRNA from 1 species
AGUGAACGCUGGCGGUAGGCCUAACACAUGCAAGUCGAACGGCAGCACAGUAAGAGCUUGCUCUUACGGGUGGCGAGUGGCGGACGGGUGAGGAAUACAUCGGAAUCUACUUUUUCGUGGGGGAUAACGUAGGGAAACUUACGCUAAUACCGCAUACGACCUACGGGUGAAAGCAGGGGAUCUUCGGACCUUGCGCGAUUGAAUGAGCCGAUGUCGGAUUAGCCAGUUGGCGGGGUAAAGGCCCACCAAGGCGACGACCCGUAGCUGGUCUGAGAGGAUGAUCAGCCACACGGGAACUGGGACACGGUCCAGACUCCUACGGGAGGCAGCAGUGGGGAAUAUUGGACAAUGGGCGCAAGCCUGAUCCAGCCAUACCGCGUGGGUGAAGAAGGCCUUCGGGUUGUAAAGCCCUUUUGUUGGGAAAGAAAAGCAGCAGGUUAAUACCCCGCUGUUCUGACGGUACCCAAAGAAUAAGCACCGGCUAACUUCGUG